rnacentral:rRNA from 1 species
AUUGAACGCUGGCGGCAGGCCUAACACAUGCAAGUCGAACGAGUGGCGGACGGGUGAGUAAUGUCUGGGAAACUGCCCGAUGGAGGGGGAUAACUACUGGAAAAGGUAGCUAAUACCGCAUACCAUCGGAUGUGCCCAGAUGGGAUCAGCUGGUAGGUGGGGUAACGGCUCACCUGAGCGAGGAUCCCUAGCUGGUCGGAGAGGAGGACCAGCCACAUUGGAACUGCGACACGGUCCAGACUCCUACGGUAGGCAGCAGUGGGGAAUAUUGGACAAGGGGCGCAAGCCGGAUGCAGCCAUGCCGCGGGUAUGAAGAAGGCUUUCGGGUUGUAAAGUACUUUCAGCGGGGAGGCGUUACCCGCAGAAGAAGCACCGGCUAACUCCGUGCCAGCAGCCGCGGUAAUUC